CCUACGGGAGGCAGCAGUGAUGAAUAUUGGUCAAUGGACGAGAGUCUGAACCAGCCAAGUAGCGUGAAGGAUGACUGCCCUAUGGGUUGUAAACUUCUUUUAUAUGGGAAUAAAAUGUUCCACGUGUGGGAUUUUGUAUGUACCAUAUGAAUAAGGAUCGGCUAACUCCGUGCCAGCAGCCGCGGUAAUACGGAGGAUCCGAGCGUUAUCCGGAUUUAUUGGGUUUAAAGGGAGCGUAGGUGGAUUGUUAAGUCAGUUGUGAAAGUUUGCGGCUCAACCGUAAAAUUGCAGUUGAAACUGGCAGUCUUGAGUACAGUAGAGGUGGGCGGAAUUCGUGGUGUAGCGGUGAAAUGCUUAGAUAUCACGAAGAACUCCGAUUGCGAAGGCAGUUCACUGGACUGCAACUGACACUGAGGCUCGAAAGUGUGGGUAUCAAACAGGAUUAGAUACCCCAGUAGUC
rnacentral:rRNA from 1 species